GAUGAACGCUGGCGGCGUGCCUAAUACAUGCAAGUCGAGCGAACGGACUAGAAGCUUGCUUUUCUGAUGUUAGCGGCGGACGGGUGAGUAACACGUGGAUAACCUACCUAUAAGACUGGGAUAACUUCGGGAAACCGGAGCUAAUACCGGAUAAUAUUUUGAACCGCAUGGUUCAAAAGUGAAAGACGGUCUUGCUUUCACUUAUAGAUUGAUCCGCGCUGCAUUAGCUAGUUGGUAAGGUAACGGCUUACCAAGGCAACGAUGCAUAGCCGACCUGAGAGGGUGAUCGGCCACACUGGAACUGAGACACGGUCAAGACUCCUACGGGAGGCAGCAGUAGGGAAUCUUCCGCAAUGGGCGAAAGCCUGACGGAGCAACGCCGCGUGAGUGAUGAAGGUCUUCGGAUCGUAAAACUCUGUUAUUAGGGAAGAACAUAUGUGUAAGUAACUGUGCACAUCUUGACGGUACCUAAUCAGAAAGCCACGGCUAACUACGUG
rnacentral:rRNA from 1 species